GGACGGGUGAGUAAUGUCUGGGAAACUGCCUGAUGGAGGGGGAUAACUACUGGAAACGGUGGCUAAUACCGCAUAACGUCGCAAGACCAAAGAGGGGGACCUUCGGGCCUCUUGCCAUCAGAUGUGCCCAGAUGGGAUUAGCUUGUUGGUGAGGUAACGGCUCACCAAGGCGACGAUCCCUAGCUGGUCUGAGAGGAUGACCAGCCACACUGGAACUGAGACACGGUCCAGACUCCUACGGGAGGCAGCAGUGGGGAAUAUUGCACAAUGGGCGCAAGCCUGAUGCAGCCAUGCCGCGUGUAUGAAGAAGGCCUUCGGGUUGUAAAGUACUUUCAGCGGGGAGGAAGGUGUUGUGGUUAAUAACCGCAGCAAUUGACGUUACCCGCAGAAGAAGCACCGGCUAACUCCGUGCCAGCAGCCGCGGUAAUACGGAGGGUGCAAGCGUUAAUCGGAAUUACUGGGCGUAAAGCGCACGCAGGCGGUCUGUCAAGUCGGAUGUGAAAUCCCCGGGCUCAACCUGGGAACUGCAUUCGAAACUGGCAGGCUUGAGUCUUGUAGAGGGGGGUAGAAUUCCAGGUGUAGCGGUGAAAUGCGUAGAGAUCUGGAGGAAUACCGGUGGCGAAGGCGGCCCCCUGGACAAAGACUGACGCUCAGGUGCGAAAGCGUGGGGAGCAAACAGGAUUAGAUACCCUGGUAGUCCACGCCGUAAACGAUGUCUACUUGGAGGUUGUGCCCUUGAGGCGUGGCUUCCGGAGCUAACGCGUUAAGUAGACCGCCUGGGGAGUACGGCCGCAAGGUUAAAACUCAAAUGAAUUGACGGGGGCCCGCACAAGCGGUGGAGCAUGUGGUUUAAUUCGAUGCAACGCGAAGAACCUUACCUGGUCUUGACAUCCACAGAACUUUCCAGAGAUGGAUUGGUGCCUUCGGGAACUGUGAGACAGGUGCUGCAUGGCUGUCGUCAGCUCGUGUUGUGAAAUGUUGGGUUAAGUCCCGCAACGAGCGCAACCCUUAUCCUUUGUUGCCAGCGGUCCGGCCGGGAACUCAAAGGAGACUGCCAGUGAUAAACUGGAGGAAGGUGGGGAUGACGUCAAGUCAUCAUGGCCCUUACGACCAGGGCUACACACGUGCUACAAUGGCGCAUACAAAGAGAAGCGACCUCGCGAGAGCAAGCGGACCUCAUAAAGUGCGUCGUAGUCCGGAUUGGAGUCUGCAACUCGACUCCAUGAAGUCGGAAUCGCUAGUAAUCGUGGAUCAGAAUGCCACGGUGAAUACGUUCCCGGGCCUUGUACACACCGCCCGUCACACCAUGGGAGUGGGUUGCAAAAGAAGUAGGUAGCUUAACCUUCGGGAGGGCGCUUACCACUUUGUGAUUCAUGACUGGGGUGAAGUCGUAACAAGGUAACCGUAGGGGAACCUGC
rnacentral:rRNA from 1 species